rnacentral:rRNA from 1 species
UACGUAGGGUGCAAGCGUUGUCCGGAAUUAUUGGGCGUAAAGGGCUCGUAGGCGGUCCAUCGCGUCGGGAGUGAAAAGCUGGGGCUUAACCCCAGUCCUGCUUCCGAUACGGGUGGACUAGAGGUAGGUAGGGGAGAUCGGAAUUCCUGGUGUAGCGGUGGAAAUGACGCAGAUAUCAGGAGGAACACCGGUGGCGAAGGCGGCUUCCUGGACCGACACUGACGCUGAGGCGCGAAAGCUAGGGGAGCAAACGGG